CAAACAAGCUAUCCAAUAGUAACUUGUACACUCUAGAUUAAUUUUUUUCUAUCAAUAUAUAUAUAGAGUUGAGCUGGAAUGCUAGCGGUACGUAGCAAACGGGCUUCGUUGCUACUCAUUUAUUUUCGAUGAUGGAUCCUUCAAAUCUAGAUCGGUAGUGUUGAACAUAAUCUAUACCACUUGAAGUAUCUAGAAACCAAAUUUCAUGUUUUUUUGAAAUUGUUCACUUGUCUAUCAAGUGGAUACAAAAAUGAAUGGCUGAAAAUACAAAUUCUUUAAAAAGUAAUGAUAAGAGUCUUGUAAUCAAGAUCAAGAGUAUAGAUCUUGUUUUAAGUAGUUUAAAAAAAAUUUUAACAAAAAUUCAAUCAAUUUGGAUAUCUUUACGCCGUUAAAUGAGAAAACGUCUCAUAUCGACUAUUAAAAUUACAAAUUUUGAAAUCUUUUGAUCAUUAAGUAAUGAUGUCGAAAAGAUUUGAAAUUUAAUUUUUAGACACUUCAAGUGAUGUAGAUUAUGUUCAAUAAUACCGAUCGUCGAUUUAAAGGCUCCAUCAUUGAAAAUAGAUGGGUGUCAACGGAGCGCGUUUGCAACCGAUAGCAUUCCAGCUCAUAUAUAUAUAUAUAUAGAUUAGCUGAGAUUCUAUCGAUAGCAACAAGUGUUUGGUGCUAUCGAGUUUUCUGCCGUUAGAUUUAACCAUUUAACUAUUUUCACCCGUUAGAUUAUACGAUUAAAUCAAUAACUCACUCAACCCUAGGGGGCCCACAUCAUCCUAAUCGUACAUUUUUUAAUUCAAGGGCCGAAAACCUAACAACACUAAAUGGUUGAUGCUAUUAAUAGUAUAUAUUCCAGCCUAGGUGUAUAUAUAUAUAUAUAUAUAUAAAGUUGAGCUAGAAUACUAUCGGUAGUAAACGAGCCGUUUUACUACCGAUUUGUUUUCGAUGAUAGAGCUUCCAAAUUGACGAUCGGCUCCGUUAAAUAUGAUCUAAACCAUUUAAAUUACCUAGAAAUCAAAUUUCACGCACUUUCGAUAUUGUUCUUUUAUCCAUCAAGUGAACAGAAAAAUGAAUGGCUGAAAAUGAAUACUCUUUAAAAAAUGAUGAUAGGAGUAUUAUAAUCAAGAUCAAGAGUUAGAUCUUGUUUUAAAUAGUUUAAAAAAUUUUCUAACAAAAAUUCAAUUGAUUUGGAUAUCUUUACGCCGUUAAACGAGAAAACGCUUCUUAUCGACCAUUAAAAUUAGAAAUUUUGAAACUCUUUGAUCAUUAGGCAAAUGAUGUCGAAAAGAUUUGAAAUUUGAUUUCUAAAUAUUUCAAGUGGUAUAGAUCAUAUCCGAUCAUCAAUUUGGAAGUUCUAUCAUCGGAAACAAAUCGGUAGUAAAACGGCUCGUUUACUACCAAUAGUAUUCUAGCUCAACUCUCUCUCUCUCUCUCUAUAUAUAUAUAUA
rnacentral:lncRNA from 1 species